rnacentral:rRNA from 1 species
GAUUCGNNUGGGGAACCCUGACGCAGCACUCCGCGUGAGUGAAGAAGGCCCUCGGGUCUNAAAGCUCUGUCAAGUGGGAAAAAAGCUUGUUGGUGAAUAGCCAGCAAGACUGAUGGUACCAUUGAAGGAAGCACCGGCUAACUCCGUGCCAGCAGCCGCGGUAAUACGGAGGGUGCAAGCGUUGUUCGGAAUUACUGGGCGUAAAGGGCGUGUAGGCGGUGUGGUAAGUCAGAUGUGAAAGCCCUGGGCUUAACCCAGGAAGUGCAUUUGAAACUGCCAUGCUUGAGUAUGGGAGAGGAGAGUGGAAUUCCCAGUGUAGAGGUGAAAUUCGUAGAUAUUGGGAGGAACACCCGUGGCGAAGGCGACUCUCUGGACCAAUACUGACGCUGAGGCGCGAAAGCGUGGGGAGCAAACAGGAUUAGAUACCCUGGUAGUCCACGCUGUAAACGAUGAGCACUAGGUGUAGCGGGUAUUGACCCCUGCUGUGCCGUAGCUAACGCAUUAAGUGCUCCGCCUGGGGAGUACGGCCGCAAGGCUAAAACUCAAAGAAAUUGACGGA